rnacentral:rRNA from 1 species
UACGGAGGGUGCAAGCGUUAUCCGGAUUCACUGGGUUUAAAGGGUGCGUAGGUGGGAAUGUAAGUCAGUGGUGAAAUCUCUGAGCUUAACUCAGAAACUGCCAUUGAUACUAUGUUUCUUUGAAUUUUCUGGAGGUCAGCGGAAUAUGUCAUGUAGCGGUGAAAUGCUUAGAUAUGACAUAGAACACCAAUUGCGAAGGCAGCUGGCUACAGGGAUAUUGACACUGAGGCACGAAAGCGUGGGGAUCAAACAGG